GUGCUCACUUUGGCAGCACAUAUACUAAAAUUGGAAUGAUACGAGAAGAUUAGCAUGGCCCCUGCACAAGGAUGACAUGCAAAUUCAUGAAGUGUUCCACAUUUAA
rnacentral:snRNA from 1 species